rnacentral:ncRNA from 2 species
CGCCACUUGUCGGAGUGCUUUCGAGCUGAGACCAUAUUGGGAUCCGUCGAACCUGUUGGGUUAACACCUGCGUAGGGAAACAAGUUAAAAUUCAGU